CCACCUGACCCCAUGCCGAACUCAGAAGUGAAACGCCGUAGCGCCGAUGGUAGUGUGGGGUCUCCCCAUGCGAGAGUAGGGAACUGUCAGGC
rnacentral:rRNA from 1 species